GAUGAACGCUGGCGGCGUGCCUAAUACAUGCAAGUCGAGCGAACAGAUGAGGAGCUUGCUCCUCUGACGUUAGCGGCGGACGGGUGAGUAACACGUGGAUAACCUACCUAUAAGACUGGGAUAACUUCGGGAAACCGGAGCUAAUACCGGAUAAUAUAUUGAACCGCAUGGUUCAAUAGUGAAAGACGGUUUUGCUGUCACUUAUAGAUGGAUCCGCGCCGCAUUAGCUAGUUGGUAAGGUAACGGCUUACCAAGGCAACGAUGCGUAGCCGACCGGAGAGGGUGAUCGGCCACCCUGGAACUGAGACACGGUCCAGACUCCUACGGGAGGCAGCAGUAGGGAAUCUUCCGCAAUGGGCGAAAGCCUGACGGAGCAACGCCGCGUGAGUGAUGAAGGUCUUCGGAUCGUAAAACUCUGUUAUUAGGGAAGAACAAAUGUGUAAGUAACUAUGCACGUCUUGACGGUACCUAAUCAGAAAGCCACGGCUAACUACGUG
rnacentral:rRNA from 1 species